AUCACAGUUGAAGUCCAACAUCAAUUCUUGAACUCUGCCGCUCUCAGUACCUUAACAUCAAAAUCAUCUCAAAGUCUUGAAACCAUAUUGCUACAGCCCCACAUUCAAGCUACAAAUAUCAACAUUACUUUGCUGUCAGGAAAGUUAUUCACCAUGGGAAAACGGGUGUGCAAGGCAGAUAUUAUUAUGCCUGUUGCAACUUACAUUAUUGUAUCCCAUCGAGUUUAGUCGUGCUGAGGUUUCUCUAGACAAGCAGAUUGAGUAAGAGAAGAGUAGAAAUUUGUUUAUAACAGUUGAGAUAAAUCCAUUGAGCCGCGCAUCUCUGUUGUUUCUUCUUUCCAUUUCAUAUUCUCUCCACAUGACAGCAGAUAUAGAUUCAUCACCUGCACAACUGCUAAUUCUCAAGAUAUCUUGCUGGUCUGAAUUUCAGAAUUGACGAGAGUAGCUUACCUGCUUGGAAGAAGGAAAGAAGAGGGCAACAUCUGCCUGAUAUCAUGUAAAAGAUACUGUUAAGCACACUAAGAUCGAGUUGAAGGCACUAAUUCUUUGAGAUUAAUCCCCCAUUCUUCUAUAGUUUUUCAGUUUGUCAACUAUUUUGGAAGGUUGAGUUGGGCAUCACAUCUUUAUACAAAUGAUGUCAAGGAGUAAGCAGAUUGGUUCCCUUACCAAGUCUGCUAGGUCAUUUUUUGUUAAUGGUUCUCGGAGUAGCGGAGCGGAAGGAAGUCCUUGUCCUAAUCCAGAAGAUGAAACUUAUGCACCGAGGAAGCAGCUCAGAAAUAGAGGAGUUUUGCUUCCACAUAAGGAUCUCACUGUCAGUUCC